rnacentral:rRNA from 1 species
UACGUAGGAGGCAAGCGUUGUUCGGAAUUACUGGGCGUAAAGCGCGUGUAGGUGGUGGGACAAGUCUGCUGUGAAAGCGCCUGGCUUAACCGGGCGAGGUCGGCGGAAACUGUCCGACUAGAGGACGGUAGAGGGGGGUGGAAUUCCCGGUGUAGUGGUGAAAUGCGUAGAGAUCGGGAGGAACACCUGUGGCGAAGGCGGCCCCCUGGGCCGGCCCUGACACUGAGACGCGAAGGCGUGGGGAGCGAACAGG